GAUGAACGCUGGCGGCGUGCCUAAUACAUGCAAGUCGAGCGAACGGACGAGAAGCUUGCUUCUCUGAUGUUAGCGGCGGACGGGUGAGUAACACGUGGAUAACCUACCUAUAAGACUGGGAUAACUUCGGGAAACCGUAGCUAAUACCGGAUAAUAUUUUGAACCGCAUGGUUCAAAAGUGAAAGACGGUCUUGCUGUCACUUAUAGAUGGAUCCGCGCUGCAUUAGCUAGUUGGUAAGGUAACGGCUUACCAAGGCAACGAUGCAUAGCCGACCUGAGAGGGUGAUAGGCCACACUGGAACUGAGACACGGUCCAGACUCCUACGAGAGGCAGCAGUAGGGAAUCUUCCGCAAUGGGCGGAAGCCUGACGGAGCAACGCCGCGUGAGUGAUGAAGGUCUUCGGAUCGUAAAACUCUGUUAUUAGGGAAAAACAUAUGUGUAAGUAACUGUGCACAUCUUGACGGUACCUAAUCAGAAAGCCACGGCUAACUACGUG
rnacentral:rRNA from 1 species